AUUGAACGCUGGCGGCAGGCCUAACACAUGCAAGUCGAACGAGUGGCGGACGGGUGAGUAAUGUCUGGGAAACUGCCUGAUGGAGGGGGAUAACUACUGGAAACGGUAGCUAAUACCGCAUACCAUCGGAUGUGCCCAGAUGGGAUUAGCUAGUUGGUGGGGUAAAGGCUCACGAAGGCGACGAUCCCUAGCUGGUCUGAGAGGAUGACCAGCCACCCUGGGACAGAGACACGGGCCAGACUCCUCCGGGAGGCAGCGGUGGGGAAUAUUGCACAAUGGGCGCAAGCCUGAUGCAGCCAUGCCGCGGGUAUGAAGAAGGCCUUCGGGUUGUAAAGUACUUUCAGCGGGGAGGCGUUACCCGCAGAAGAAGCACCGGCUAACUCCGUGCCAGCAGCCGCGGUAAUAC
rnacentral:rRNA from 1 species